rnacentral:lncRNA from 1 species
CAUGGUGUGCCAAGCGGUGCCAUGUCCACACCCAGGAUCCGAACCAGCGAACCCUAGGCCACAGAGAAGCAGAACUGGGUUCAUUCACUUGGUGUCCUUUGCAUCAAGCUGUCGUUCUACACCUACCACUUAGCUCUCUGCUUUACUCACAGACAAGCCUCCCAAGCCAUUGUUUCCCAUGGAGAAUCAGCCAAGUGUUAUAGAUGUCCAGCUGGGCUUGCAGGCUGUCCUGGGGGAGCUGCUUUGAUGCCACGGUGCAUUGGUCUUGCUGCCCAUUUCAAAAAUGAAAAGACCCAGCUUGCUUACUCCAGCUCAACAAAGAGAUUAGUCCACCAAACAUGAGGAAAUCACGACUUGCCAGUAACUACAUCUGAAGGGUCUGAAUUAUCAGCCAAAGCCUUCUUAACUUAAAAUCUGCUAUCUGCUGCAUAUGGUGCCUAAAUACCAAAGGAACAGAGCACUUUUAAAUCCUUGGCAUGGCUGUUGUUAAAAGAUAAUUUUACCAAAAAAAAGUAAAAUCAUGGCUCUCAUACAGAUAUGAACACAUGCUAAAGACUUUGUUUAACUCAUUAAUGAGGGAACUGAUGAAGUCUUACAUAACCAAUUUGAGAAAGAAUUCAAGAAAAAAAGGACAGGAAUAUUGAAAUGGAUUUGCAAAUGAAAACAAACUGGCCUCUUUCAAAGUUUGUGUGUGGGGGGGAGGGGACCGUUGGAUAUCCAAUGGAUAGAAUUUACAUGUCUAUGGACAAGAAUUAUUUUGCAUGCUAUCAGUUUUCUACAGUUUACAGAGUUGUAAAAUUGCUCAAAAACAGUGAAAAACUAGAAUCAGGUAUAAUGGAGGGAUGUGAUCCAAACAAUGUAUAGUUUUCUGUUCAAAGAUUUUUGUUCUGCGCUGUGCUGGGGGAGAUGGCCCAGGUCUUGGCAAACUAAGCGGUGGGCUAAAAGCCAUAGGCUCCUUGCUGUCAGGGCUCCUUGAUCCUGAACCGGCCAACUUACAGAAACCAUUUCUUGAACUUUGUUUUAGGAUGCCUUCAGCCUGCUGCUGGAUUCAUUU